UAGGGAAUAUUGGACAAUGGGCGCAAGCCUGAUCCAGCCAUGCCGCGUGAGUGAAGAAGGCCCUCGGGUUGUAAAGCUCUUUUGUCCGGAAAGAAAAGCAUCGGGUUAAUACCCCGGUGUUCUGACGGUACCGGAAGAAUAAGCACCGGCUAACUUCGUGCCAGCAGCCGCGGUAAUACGAAGGGUGCAAGCGUUACUCGGAAUUACUGGGCGUAAAGCGUGCGUAGGUGGUUCGUUAAGUCUGAUGUGAAAGCCCUGGGCUCAACCUGGGAAUGGCAUUGGAAACUGGCGGACUGGAGUGCGGUAGAGNGUAGCGGAAUUCCCGGUGUAGCAGUGAAAUGCGUAGAGAUCGGGAGGAACAUCCGUGGCGAAGGCGGCUACCUGGACCAGCACUGACACUGAGGCACGAAAGCGUGGGGAGCAAACA
rnacentral:rRNA from 1 species